rnacentral:rRNA from 1 species
UACGGAAGGGGCAAGCGUUGUUCGGAAUCAUUGGGCGUAAAGAGCGCGUAGGCGGCCAGAUAAGUCCGGUGUGAAAGUCACAGGCUCAACCUGUGAAUGCCGCUGGAAACUGUCUGGCUAGAGUCCGGAAGAGGCGGAGUGGAAUUCCUGGUGUAGCGGUGAAAUGCGUAGAGAUCAGGAAGAACAUCGGUGGCGAAGGCGACUUGC